UCGAUUCUGCGUUUCCCUUCACCUCCCCCACAAAGUUCCUUUUGCAAAACGGUUGUAGUUAUGGCAUUCAAUCCUCAAUCCCCACUACGUCUGCUUCAUUGCUUAUUAACAACAUUUUUAUCAUCGCUCUUGGACAAUCUUUACCUUCUAAAUCAGAAAACCCUUAAUCGUUUUAUCUUAUCCACGACAAUGGCAACUCGACGGCCCACUUCUCUGAGCUAAAGGCUGGCCGCUGCAGUUAGAGUGUUAUCACGAGGCUUCUUUGUUUCUAGGAAGCUCGAAACUUUAAGAAAGGUGGAGAGUUGCGGCCGUUGAUGUGGUACUGGUCGAUGAGAAGUGGGUUACAGUCCGUUUUCAUCCAUGCCUCAAUCAAUUUUCAUCGGCUCAUACUUUCGGGAACAUCCUGAAGGAAGGCAGGCUCUCUGACCUAAGUCUGUGUGAUGUAACAAGGAGCAACCAAAGCUUUUGACUGUCAAAAUUCAAAUACAUAUCUACCAUUGCCUCUCAUGUUUUUCUGCGACACUUCCAGGUUCUAGCCACUCACAAUCUGUACGGACGUCACAGGAGCUUUGUUCGUUGGACGAGGAGUGCUGCUAUGUCGCAAGAUAGUGCAACUGCUGGCUCUGCUUCUGGAGCUAGACCAUUUUGCUCCCUUGAAGAGGUUUGAUGUACCGAUUACUGACUAGACAAAAUUGAAACGACAUACAAUGAAGAUACACAUAAAACUGAGGGUAUUAAUACUACCAUCCGCUUCAAAGGCUGAUGCCGGACUGACUACGGUUCGUCAACAUGGAGGUGUUAAGAAGAUUGAGUCAAUACCACUGUCUGAGCUGAAUCCAUAUGUACUGAGUUCACUCCCCAGGUUGGACACUCUACAAAGAAGGCACACCAUGGUUGAACUUUAGAGCCUGGGAGUCCAUGAUAUUGUUUUAUAUUUUCACAGUUACUCUAAUCCUUUUUUUUAUUUAAUUCCAAAAAUUUGUAGCAUCAAUAUGUUCCAGUUUGAUGUCUUUUGUGUCAGUGUUUUGAAUUUGGCUGUUUAAAACAUUUUCGUACCCAUCAAGA